rnacentral:rRNA from 1 species
UNGGAAUUACUGGGCGUAAAGCGGGCGCAGACGGUUACUUAAGCAGGAUGUGAAAUCCCCGGGCUCAACCUGGGAACUGCGUUNUGAACUGGGUGACUAGAGUGUGUCAGAGGGAGGUAGAAUUCCACGUGUAGCAGUGAAAUGCGUAGAGAUGUGGAGGAAUACCGAUGGCGAAGGCAGCCUCCUGGGAUAACACUGACGUUCAUGCCCGAAAGCGUGGGUAGCAAACAGGAUUAGAUACCCUGGUAGUCCACGCCCUAAACGAUGUCGAUUAGCUGUUGGGCAGCAUGACUACUUAGUAGCGAAGCUAACGCGUGAAAUCGACCGCCUGGGGAGUACGGUCGCAAGAUUAGAACUCAAAGGAAUUGACGGGGACCCGCACAAGCGGUGGAUGAUGUGGAUUAAUUCGAUGCAACGCGAAGAACCUUACCUGGUCUUGACAUGUACGGAACCCUCCAGAGACGGAGGGGUGCCUUCGGGAGCCGUAACACAGGUGCUGCAUGGCUGUCGUCAGCUCGUGUCGUGAGAUGUUGGGUUAAGUCCCGCAACGAGCGCAACCCUUGUCAUUAGUUGCCAUCAUUAAGUUGGGCACUCUAAUGAGACUGCCGGUGACAAGCCGGAGGAAGGUGGGGAUGACGUCAAGUCCUCAUGGCCCUUAUGACCAGGGCUUCACACGUCAUACAAUGGUCGGUACAGAGGGUAGCCAAGCCGCGAGGUGGAGCCAAUCUCACAAAACCGAUCGUAGUCCGGAUUGCACUCUGCAACUCGAGUGCAUGAAGUCGGAAUCGCUAGUAAUCGCAGGUCAGCAUACUGCGGUGAAUACGUUCCCGGGUCUUGUACACACCGC